rnacentral:rRNA from 1 species
AUGGGCCGGCGUCGCCGUGAUUACUUCUCCCAUGAAACUCAACGGAGGUGCGCAAAGCUGUCCCGGCGGCUGGCAAUCGGCUUCACCGUAGCCGCGGUCCUCGCCGCCGUGGUGCUCAUCGUCCUGCGCUUCGCCGUCGUCCCCGAGGUCAAGGCCGACGUGGAGGACGCCCGUCUCAACCAAUUCGCCUUGGCCACCACGAAGAACGGCAAGUCCAUCUUCUGCUUCAACAUCUCCAUCGCCCUCAAGGUCCGGAACCCGAACAUGGCCAUGAGCGUCAAGUACACGGAGCCCCUGGCGGCCGCCUUCAUCUUCUUCAACAGGCGUCUGUGCAACGCCAGCGUCGCCUACGAGGGGCACAGGCACCCCCCGCGUAGGACCGAGGUCCACCUGCUGCACCCCGGCGGGGAGGUCCCGUCAGAUCUGCUCGGCGCCGCGGCGGUCGAGGAAUUCAAGAAGCAGAACGCCACGGGCGUGUUCGAUGUGGGCGUGCGCCUCUCCGGGGAGAUCACGCUUGGCAUUGGCAACACGCGCAAGCUAAGCCUCCGCUGCCCAAUCAGCCUGCAGCUCGCGCCGACGGCCACCCUCGAGUUCGGUAGGGUUAACUGCGAACCCGAUGAGCCACAAACCAAUUAUUUUUGA